UACGUAGGGUGCAAACGUUGUCCGGAAUUACUGGGUGUAAAGGGUGCGCGGGCGGCUUAGCACGUCAGAGGUUAAAUAUCUCGGCUCAACCGAGAGAGUGCCUUUGAUACGGUUAGGCUUGAGUACGAGAGAGGAUGAUAGAAUUCCUGGUGUAGCGGUGAAAUGCGUAGAUAUCAGGAGGAAUACCAGUGGCGAAGGCGGUCAUCUGGCUCGUAACUGACGCUUAGGCACGAAAGUGUGGGUAGCGAACAGG
rnacentral:rRNA from 1 species